rnacentral:rRNA from 1 species
GACGAACGCUGGCGGCGUGCUUAACACAUGCAAGUCGAACGGAAAGGCCCUGCUUUUGUGGGGUGCUCGAGUGGCGAACGGGUGAGUAACACGUGAGUAACCUGCCCUUGACUUUGGGAUAACUUCAGGAAACUGGGGCUAAUACCGGAUAGGAGCUCCUGCUGCAUGGUGGGGGUUGGAAAGUUUCGGCGGUUGGGGAUGGACUCGCGGCUUAUCAGCUUGUUGGUGGGGUAGUGGCUUACCAAGGCUUUGACGGGUAGCCGGCCUGAGAGGGUGACCGACCACAUGGGGACUGAGGUACGGCCCAGACUCCUACGGGAGGCAGCAGUGGGGAAUAUUGCACAAUGGGCGGAAGCCUGAUGCAGCAACGCCGCGUGCGGGAUGACGGCCUUCGGGUUGUAAACCGCUUUCGCCUGUGACGAAGCGUGAGUGACGGUAAUGGGUAAAGAAGCACCGGCUAACUACGUG